rnacentral:rRNA from 1 species
GAUGAACGCUGACAGAAUGCUUAACACAUGCAAGUCAACUUGUGGCGGACCGGUGAGUAACGCGUAACGAACUUGCCUCACAGAUAGGGACAACAUUUGGAAACGAAUGCUAAUACCUGAUACUGUGAGAGAGCGUUGCGUCCCAUUAGCUAGUUGGAGAGGUAACGGCUCAGCAGUGCGAUGAUGGUUAGCCGGCCUGAGAUGGUGAUCGGCCACCAGGGGACUGGGAAGCAGGCCGUACUGCUACGGGAGGCAGGAGUGGGGAAGAUUGGACGAUGGCCCAAAGUAUGAUCCAGCAAUUCGGUGUGCAAGAUGAAGUUUUCGGAAGGUAAAGUGCUUUCAGUUGGAAAGCAGUACCAACAGAAGAAGUGACGGCUAAAUACGUGCCAGCCGCCGCGGUAAUAC